GAUGAACGCUGGCGGCGUGCCUAAUACAUGCAAGUCGAGCGAACAGACGAGGAGCUUGCUCCUCUGACGUUAGCGGCGGACGGGUGAGUAACACGUGGAUAACCUACCUAUAAGACUGGGAUAACUUCGGGAAACCGGAGCUAAUACCGGAUAAUAUAUUGAACCGCAUGGUUCAAUAGUGAAAGACGGUUUUGCUGUCACUUAUAGAUGGAUCCGCGCCGCAUUAGCUAGUUGGUAAGGUAACGGCUUACCAAGGCAACGAUGCGUAGCCGACCUGAGAGUGUGGUCGGCCACACUGGAACUGAGACACGGUCCAGACUCCGACGGGAGGCAGCAGUAGGGAAUCUUCCGCAAGGGGCGAAAGCCUGACGGAGCAACGCCGCGUGAGUGAUGAAGGUCUUCGGAUCGGAAAACUCUGUUAUUAGGGAAGAACAAAUGUGUAAGUAACUAUGCACGUCUUGACGGUACCUAAUCAGAAAGCCACGGCUAACUACGUG
rnacentral:rRNA from 1 species